GUGACCAAUAAUGAGACAGUGUCAUAAACCAAGGAUUAUGAUUAACUGGUUUCUGUACAACUUAGGUAACAG
rnacentral:snoRNA from 1 species